UGGUGGUGUGUAAUAGUGGUAUAUAGAUGGUGGUAUGUAAUAGUGGUAUAUAGAUAGUGGUGUGUAAUAGUGGUAUAUAGAUGAUGGUGGUGUGUAAUAGUGGUAUAUAGAUGGUGGUGUGUAAUAGUGGUAUAUAGAUGGUGGUGGGUGUAAUAGUGGUAUAUAGAUGGUGGUGUGUAAUAGUGGUAUAUAGGUGGUGGUGUGUAAUAGUGGUAUAUAGAUGGUGGUGUGUAAUAGUGGUAUAUAGAGGGUGGUGUGUAAUAGUGGUAUAUAGAUGGUGGUGUGUAAUAGUGGUAUAUAGAUGGUGGUGUGUAAUAGUGGUAUAUAGAUGGUGGUGUGUAAUAGUGGUAUAUAGAUGGUGGUGUGUAAUAGUUGUAUAUAGAUGUUAGUUGGUGGUGUGUAAUAGUGGUAUAUAGAUGAUGGUGGUGUGUAAUAGUGGUAUAUAGAUGGUGGUGUGUAUUAGUGGUAUAUAGAUGGUGGUGUGUAAUAGUGGUAUAUAGAUGGUGGUGGUGUGUAAUAGUGGUAUAUAGAUGGUGGUGGUGUGUAAUAGUGGUAUAUAGAG
rnacentral:lncRNA from 1 species